CUCCGCCAAAAUGUCCUCCUCCAAAGUAUCCACCCAAACAUCCUCCCAUUGUGAGGCCUCCGUUUCACCCUAAACCACCGAAACAUCCUCCCCAUCCUCCAAAGCCGCCCAAGCCUCCUGUCGUAAAGCCUCCUUAUGUGCCCAAACCUCCAGUUGUAAAGCCUCCGCCUCAUAUACCGAAGCCUCCCUAUGUACCCAAACCUCCUGUUGUAAAGCCUCCGCCUCAUGCACCGAAGCCUCCCUAUGUACCCAAACCUCCUGUAGUAAAGCCUCCGCCUUACACCCCGAAGCCUCCCUAUGUACCCAAACCUCCAGUUGUAAAGCCUCCACCCUAUACACCAAAACCUCCAGUUGUAAAGCCUCCACCUUAUCCACCAAAACCUCCAGUUGUAAAACCACCCUACGUGCCGGUGCCCACGCCACCAUAUGUACCCAAGCCCCCACCUUAUGUACCGAAACCCCCCAUCGUGCCUGUAC
rnacentral:lncRNA from 1 species